UCUCUCUCUCAGUGGGUUCACGAUGGCCGUGUCAGAGACACUGAGAGGCUGGGUUCGAGCCCUGGGUCUGGGUGUCUCUCUCAGUGGGUUCACGAUGGCCGUGUCAGAGACACUGAGAGGCUGGGUUCGAGCCCUGGGUCUGGGUGUCUCUCUCUCAGUGGGGUCACGAUGGCUGUGUCGGAGACACUGAGAGGCUGGGUUCGAGCCCUGGGUCUGGGUGUCUCUCUCUCAGUGGGGUCACGAUGGCUGUGUCGGAGACACUGAGAGGUUGGGUUCGAGCCCUGGGUCUGGGUGUCUCUCUCUCAGUGGGUUCACGAUGGCCGUGUCGGAGACACUGAGAGGCUGGGUUCGAGCCCUGGGUCUGGGUGUCUCUCUCUCAGUGGGUUCACGAUGGCCGUGUCGGAGACACUGAGAGGCUGGGUUCGAGCCCUGGGUCUGGGUG